rnacentral:rRNA from 1 species
GACGAACGCUGGCAGCGUGCCUAAUACAUGCAAGUAGAACGCUGAAGGGGGAGCUUGCUUCUCUGGAUGAGUUGCGAACGGGUGAGUAACGCGUAGGUAACCUGCCUGGUAGCGGGGGAUAACUAUUGGAAACGAUAGCUAAUACCGCAUAAUAGUAGAUGUUGCAUGACAUUUGCUUAAAAGGUGCAAUUGCAUCACUACCAGAUGGACCUGCGUUGUAUUAGCUAGUUGGUGAGGUAACGGCUCACCAAGGCAACGAUACAUAGCCGACCUGAGAGGGUGAUCGGCCACACUGGGACUGAGACACGGCCCAGACUCCUACGGGAGGCAGCAGUAGGGAAUCUUCGGCAAUGGACGGAAGUCUGACCGAGCAACGCCGCGUGAGUGAAGAAGGUUUUCGGAUCGUAAAGCUCUGUUGUAAGAGAAGAACGAGUGUGAGAGUGGAAAGUUCACACUGUGACGGUAUCUUACCAGAAAGGGACGGCUAACUACGUG